AUCAAGCAUAUGUCUCUCCGUUCUUCUUCUCGUCUCUCUCCCUCUUCUCACUCACCGGUUCUCGCUCUCUAAAAGAAAAUUCGGGAUAUCUGUCUUUCCUACUUGCUCUCGCCACCUCCCCUCGCUUCCUGAGAUCCGGCGACUCACCACGACCACCCUCAUCUCACUAUCCAAUUUCUCUCUCACACAACCCCACACUCCUUGAUCUCUCUCACUUAUCUCGGUUGUCCGGCGAGAAAUCACCGUCACCGCCGCUGGCCUAAUCCUCCGGUCGCGUGUGGGCACGCCCCGCCCCGGAGCCGCCGUCCUAGCGCUGCAAGCAGCAGUGCGCGACUGCGCCGCGCCUAGCCUUCCCCGUCGCCCCGCCCCGCCUUCUUCAGCCUAGGCGCCUCCGUCCGCCAACUCCGCAGUAGCAGCAGUUUCCAAUGCCCGAUUUCCGGUAUUUCAGCUCUGCAGAAAAUGUUAGCGCUCGAGAAAUUUGUAGCUUCUAAUGGGAGAGUCGUCUGGGGUUGGUUGUUCCUUAUCGUUGGAGCUUUCUGUUUUAUGAGUUUCCUCUAUGCUGCCGUCAUAUCUAAGCUUCAGCCUCCAUCUCAUAAUGUUCUCAUCAGUGCCAUCCAAAAUGACUGGUAUUAUUGCUUCUUGGUGCCCAUGACAUUUCCAAUCCUUUUUGUUGCGGUGUAUUUUCAUUGGCUGAGCAUGAAAUUGUUCAAGCACGCCUGAGUAAGACCAGCUGGCAUUUUCAUGUCCUUCAUCAGUCAUCACCAUGAAAUGUCAUGUGAUGACACCAUGUUUCUCCAUGGAUAUCGAGCUCCUAUGGUACAAGCAGCACCUUCAAGGGCGAUUCUGAAGAUUGAAACUAGCAUUGGCUGCGUGUAUUCAACGAUAGGUAUCAUACUUCGUACUUUAGCUGCAUCAAGCAUGGAAAUGCAAAUGCUCCAAAUUGUCUUACUUGAUUGUUUGUGUUUCUUUCCUUGGAACCUUUAUUGUUAAUAGUUGUUUCAUCGUAUAAAUAUUUUACUACUAUUAAAGAGCUUAUUUUUACAAA